GUCAAAAUUCUCCACAUUUCCCCAACAUUGUAUACUGUCAAGAUGUAAGGUAAAGCUUCAGUGAUCCAGAAGGUGGGGUAACUGACUGACAGAGAAACAGAAACAGACCCAUACAAAUACAACCAAAUGACCUUCGAGAAAGAAACAAAGGUUAUUCAGUAGAGAAGAUGGUCUUUUCAACAAAUGGUGCUAGGACAAGUGUAAAAAGUGAAUCCAGACACGGGUCUUACAUGUUUCACAAAAAAAAAUUGACUCAAAAUUGAUUGUAGACCUAAGUGUGAAAUACAAGACUACAACUUCUAGGAGAAAACCUAGAUGACCUUGCAUUUGACAAUGGUUUCUUAGAUAAAAUGCCAAAAGCACAAUUCACAAAAGAAAUAACUAAUAAGCUGGACUUCACUAAAAUUAAAAUCUUCAGCUCCGUGAAAGGCAUUAUUAAGAGAAAGAAAAGAUGAAAGGACUAACACGGCCUGGGAGAAAGUAUUUGUAAGACACAAAUCUGAUAAAGGAGGAGGAUUGCAAGUUCAAGGCCCACCUGGGCAACUUAGUGAGACCCUGUCUCAAAAUAAAAAUAAAAAAUAAAAGAGCUGGGGAAGAAGUGGUAGAAUCCCCUAAGUUCAAUCCUCAGUGCAGAAAAAGAAAAAGACAGAGAGAGAGAGAGAGACAGGGAAAGGGGGGAAAUGUUUUUAGAAUAAUGCAUGUGUGAAUCAAUCAAUCAAUUCUAAUCUCUCUUUUUCUUAUUGAGGUGAAAUUCACAUGAGAUAGAAUUAACUGUUUUAAAGUACACAGAUCUGUGACUUUAGUAAAUUUGUAGUGUUGUGCAACCAUCACUUCUAUCUAGUUAUAAAACGUUUUUAUCACCCCAAAGGAAGCUGCAUACCCAGUAAGCAUUCUCUCCCCAUUCCUUCUGGGAAAGUCCCUAGCAACAUAUGAUAUACCUUCUGGUAACACAGUUUUAGCUAUUCUGAAUAUUUCCUAUAAACAGCAUCACAAAAUAUGUAAUCUUUCAUGUCUGACUUGUUUCACUUAGCAUGUUUUUGAGACUCAUCCAUGUACUUUCUUCCUUUUUACAGAUGAAUAAUAUUUUAUUGUAUGGAUACAUUUCAUUUAUAUAAGUAAACAUAUAAAACGUGGGUAUAUUUUGUUUGCCCAUCUGUUGGUGGACAUUGGAUUGUUUCUACCUUUUGGCUCUGGUACUGUGCUGCUUAAGACACGCGUGUUUGAAUUUUUUUUUUUUGAGAGAGAGAGAGAGAGAGAAUUUUAAUAUUUAUUUUUUAGUUUAUCGGCGGACACAACUUCUUUGUUUUGUAUGUGGUGCUCAGGAUCGAACCCGGGCCGCAAGCAUGCCAGGCGAGCACGGUACCGCUUGAGCCACAUCCCCAGCCCCAAGACAUGCGUGUUUGAAUUCUUGAUUCAAAUCUGCCAUUAAGGUGGUCCUCCUGGUUUUCGCCUAGGGAGUUAAGUUUAUUUGUGGUACUUAGUAGAUAUCAGCUGACAUUGCAUAGGGAUUUGUUGAAGAGAACUGAUUUUCUUGUGUUUGCUUAUUAAAUAUGUAAUGAAGCCAAUGUAGAAAACCUUGGCUCUGGAGCCCUGCAGCUUUGGGGUAACACAAGAAAAGGAAGAAAAGAAGCUGGGCAUAGUGGUGCACACCUGUAAUUCCAGUGAUUCAGGCAGUUAAGAUAGGAGGAUUGCAAGUCUGGGCAUCUUACCAAAACUCUGACUCAAAAUAAAAAGUAAAAAGAGCUUUGGAUGUAGCUUGUGGUAGAGCACCCCUGAGUUCAAUCCUCUGUUAAUAAAAAAAGAGGUUGGGGGUAGAAAGUGAUUCUCGGAAUAGGGAGGUUCUUGUGGCUCCCUGGGAAGAUCAGUCAUUCCAUUCAGUGGCCUUGAUUAAAGUUCUACAUUUCCACCUUUGGGGUUAUUACAUUGCAAGAGAGGACCCAGCAAGGAAAACAAGGAAUUGUAGAUUUUUAAGACGUGGCUCUUUUUGAGUCAUGAUCUUGAUUAUCUUUAACCUUUCAAAAUGAAUCUCUCUCCUUCACAUUUGGCUUUAUAUAUGUAGCUUUCAAACUCUUACUGUGAAUUCUUAUUCACCAUGAACUCAAUACAAAAGCUGUGUCUGUAAUUUGAGUGACUCAGAAUGACUUUUCCAUGUGAGUCACACCUCUCAGGACGAUUCUGUUCAAACUGUACCAUCUUAAUUAAGCAUCUCCAUCCUCCUCAAAAAAAGCACAAAAGAUGAAACAAGAAAAACAAGAUCAUCCAUAUUAAACAUUUAGGCCAGCUCAGAUUUAAGUGUAUACAUUUUAAAUAAUAAUUAGAAAAUAAAAAUAAUCAUCUAUACAAAUUUCUUUCAAGCUUAUAAUAGGAACAAACAUUCCAGAUAUUUUAAUCAAAGAACAAAACAUCAGUUGGGCUAAUCAGUUUGAGAGAAAUAUAAAUUCUGAUUUUUUUCAUUCACAUAAAAGUCCAGAGGUAGGUGGUUUAGGCUGGUAUGGUGCGUUUGCUCCUUAACAUCCUCAUUCAGUGUUCAGCUAUUCUUCACCAUGCAGCUAUUCCUGUAAUAUGGCCCUCCAUAGUUCAACACGGAAGUUAGAGAUCCAGCCAUCAAAUCCACUAUCUAAUCAACAGGAUGGAAGAAGAGACAAAUAGGGGGCAAGGGCAAAACAUAGAUAUCUUUCAAGGAAAGUUUUUUUUUUUUUUGCAGCUGCCAUAGUUACUUCUGCUUACCUCUCAUUGGCCAGACUUAGUUGAUGUUUGGACAACCAUAUUCUUUAAGGCUACUUUACCAAUUAUAAAUCGCAGCCAAUUUGACAAGAUUGACCUCAAAUUCUGACUUCCUGGUGGCAUAAGAAACAAGCUUAAUCCUGAAAAUUUACUCCUAGAAUAUGGGUGAAGAGAUUCCCAGAUUCCUGCUGCAGACAGGAGAAGGUGUUCAAUACCACUUACCACAAUCUAUUCAUGGAAGAGAAGUGCAAUAGUUUGGAACUUAAAUGACCCUCAAAGGCCAGUGUGUUGAAGGCUUGGUCCCAGCAGGUGGCACUACUGGAGGUGGUGGAAACCUUUGGGAGGUGAGGCCUAGUGGGAGGAGUUAGUUCACUGGGGAGGGAGUGCCUUAGAAGAGGACAUUGGAACCAGGUCCCUCCUCUCCUUUUCUCUGCUUCCGAACUGUCAGCUUGAACGGCUUCCUCUGCCUUGUGCUUCCUCUACCUUGUACCACUCACCACAGCCUUAAACAACAGGGCUAAGUGACUGUGGACUGAAAUGUCUGAAACCAUAAGCCAAAAUAGACCUUUUGUGUUUUGAAGCUGAUUAUCUCGGCAUUUGUACAGUAACAGAAAGAUGACUUACCGGAGGAGGAAAGAGUGGGGAGCCAGAAUGGAACCAGGGUUGGGGAAUCAGUCCUCACAACCAGCUCCUGAGAGAAGAGUCUGUGGGUUGCAAGUUUCCCUGACACUGAAACAGGGGGUAGAAAGGAGACAGGUGUGAAGACCAAACUAAAAAGAAGAGGAAAAUUUCAUUAACAAUGAAAAACAAUGGGCUGCCAGGCCUAGUGAUGCAUGCCUAUAAUCCCAGCGGCUCCGGCGGCUGAGGCAGGAGGAUCACAAGUUCAAAACCAGCC
rnacentral:lncRNA from 1 species